rnacentral:lncRNA from 1 species
GGUCAAUAACUCCUUAAGGGAUCAAUUGAUCAUUUUGCUCAAUUUGACUUAUUUGUAGAUCUUACUUUGCUGAAUAUUAUAGCUGUUUUAGUUCAUCUCUAUAAUAAUGUUCAAGAUAAUAACCAAAAACAGCAAAAUUAACAUAAAACUACCAAUUUAGGGGCAGCAACCCAACAAUGGAUUGUUUGAUUCAUCUAAAAAUUUCAGGGCAGAUAGAUUUUUACCUGAUGAACAAUUUUACCCCAUAUCAAAUUUGCUCUAAAUGCUUUGGUUUCAGAGAUAUAAGCCAAAAUCUACAUUUUACCCCAAUGUUCUAUUUCUAGCCAUGGCAGCCAUCUUUGUUGGCUGGCCGGGUCAACUAGAAACCCCAAUGAUGAUUAUGGCCAAAUUGGCCCAGUAGUUUUAGAGAAGAAGAUUUUUGUAAAAGUUAACAGACGAUGACUGACAACGACGACGCGGACUACGGAAGCCAAGUGAUGAGAAAAGCUCACUUAAGGGCCAGGUGAGCUAAAAAAACAUUCUCUCCAUCUGCAGAACUUUUAAUACAGACAAAAACAAAAUGAUAACUGAUACAUAAUAAAUGAACAUUAAAAAAUCAUGUCAUGUCUUGAUUAAAAAUUCUUGCAUUUCAAAAUGACUUAUUUCUCUUUAAAAUUCAACAAAUAAAAUCUAUAUGCAUUUACAUCCUUCAAAAUUAGUGAAGUACUAAAAAUCUAAAUUAUUAUUCAGUUAGACACUAGUCAUUUGCCCACCUUUCUAUGUAAAUGUCCUGAGACUCUUGAUGAAAUUUGUACAUUUUAGUUCAUUUCUCAAAGAAAGUGCCAAAGAUAUUCUUUUAUAUAAAUAGAAAUUAUCAUGUAGUUCCAGAAGCCUAGCUGAAUCACUGUUUUAAAUUUUACACUGGAUAUCAAAUAAAACAAUAAUGUAAAUAUUUGGUAGUAUUAUCCUUUUACUAAUGACCACAACUUGACAAAUCUUCCUUCUGAUGUAACAGUCAAGUAGUGUUCCUUAAGCCACAAUUCUGUAGUUGUAAAAAUUCUUGUUUUUUAAAUAAUAGUAUCUUCCAUUUUGUUUAGGUUCUAAGAGUUUCACUUGGCAGGUAAUACUGAAAAUAGACCAAAGUUUAGCAGGACUGGGUUGCAAUGUUUUCUGUAUGUAAAAUUAUGUUAAAUAUGCAUGAUCUUUGCUGCCAAAACAAAUAAAUGAGGUACAAACAAUUAAUACUGCACAAUCACAUUUUUGUUAUUCUUGUAAAUAAACACUGAAUAUGGUGUAACACUUUCACAAGAAUGAGGUAUAAGCAUUCAGAAGUUCAUCUUCUGUAACGUUUAGAAAAGCAUGUUUUUUCUUUCUUUUUCCUUUUUUAUAUUAUCAAAAAUUUUCAUGAUCAUCCCUCAUAAGGACUGUCAAAGUUUUAGUCAAAUCUUCAUUAGAACAUAGUUAGCCUUGUUUAAAC